rnacentral:rRNA from 1 species
CAGCAGCCGCCGCGGUAAUACGUAGGUCCCGAGCGUUGUCCGGAUUUAUUGGGCGUAAAGCGAGCGCAGGCGGUUAGAUAAGUCUGAAGUUAAAGGCUGUGGCUUAACCAUAGUACGCUUUGGAAACUGUUUAACUUGAGUGCAAGAGGGGAGAGUGGAAUUCCAUGUGUAGCGGUGAAAUGCGUAGAUAUAUGGAGGAACACCGGUGGCGAAAGCGGCUCUCUGGCUUGUAACUGAUGCUGAGGCUCGAAAGCGUGGGGAGCAAACAGGAUUAGAUACCCCUGUAGUCCCUGUCUCUUAUACC